rnacentral:lncRNA from 1 species
AUGGAAUUUGGAGUCACAAGGACAAGGGAGCAGAAUCAGCUCUGCCGUCUAUGAACUGAUUUUGAAGAAAGAAAUUCACCUCUCUGAGUCUCAGUUGCUUGAUCUGUUAAAUAGAAAUGGAUCCUAUUAACACAUAGUAGGAAAAUAAACAAGUUACAAUGGUGAUUAAGGGUCUCAAACCAGGAAGACAGGAGACAAAUCAGAUCAUAUUACAGUCCAACAAAUGUGGUGAGAAACACAGAGCUCAGCGUCAAGUGGCACGGAGAGAACAUCUACACCCACACGCCUCUGAUUCACACCUGAAGUUUUUCACUGUGCUUGAUUGGAAAUCCAAGUCUCCUGGCUUCCAAGGCUGCGUAGAGGGAUGGCUAUGACCAUGAACUUUGGUGUCACAGGGAUGGGAGCUUGCGUUUCUUCUUUCCUGUCUACUGGCUGUGUGAUCUUGAAUUAAUUAUUUAACCUGACUGUCUUCAUCUGUAAGAUGAUGAUAAUGGCUCCAAUAUCACAGGCUAUUGCAAGGAUUAAAUUCAAUCAUGAGUGUCAAGUCCUUUCUACAUAAUGUCAUCUAUAAAUGGUGGCUAUUAUCCUUUCUACGCCUUGGUUAUGCUAAGUUCAAAUGUGAUAUUAUGAGCGAAUAAACUUUACUCUGCAUUUCCCACCACUGACAUUCUACAAGUCAUUGAAAAAUAUGUAUAUAUAUAUAUCCCCUAUAAAUACAUAUUAUACCAGCUUUAUCAUUAUUAUUUAACCCAAAGUAUGAGUCAACUUUGAGAGAGAUGGUGAAUAAUUGAAUGGAAUUAGUGGAAUCCUGAUAUUGAUUACUUGCUGUUAAAAUUUAACAUUUUUCACAAAUGUGAUUCUUUAGAUAAGCUUGGUAAUCUAUCUUUAAAAUUUGACAUCAUUCCCUUGAGACAAUUUCC